AUCUUUAUAGUAUAUAAAUACAUUACUCUUAGAAAGUAAAAAUUAAUAAGAUA
rnacentral:tRNA from 1 species